UGGGGAUUGGCUCAGUGGUAGAGCGCUUGCCUAGCAAGCGCAAGGCCCUGGGUUCGGUCCCCAGCUCCAA
rnacentral:tRNA from 1 species